CCGGGGUGAGGGUUUAGACGCCUUGGACAGUAGGUGCGGCGCAUGUUUGUUAAAAUGUUUCAGAGGCACAUUGCUACCGGAACUCGAUGUCCAAGUGGACCACGUGGAUCCGAAUCUCUGGUAGCGAAGAAAAUAGAAUUAAAACCAUUGAUUGCAUCCACUGUUAUCAGCCGCACAGGAAAAAAGAAAAGCAACAGUGGCAGUCUCUGAUUCUCCGACGCACCUCCAUGGGACCAGGACCGUGGGUGUCGAGUUGGUGGGU
rnacentral:lncRNA from 1 species